rnacentral:rRNA from 1 species
CGCCUCUCGACAAUACAUGAGAGGUCCAGCCUGCCCAGUGACAAAGUUCAACGGCCGCGGUACCCUAACCGUGCAAAGGUAGCAUAAUCACUUGUCCUUUAAAUGGGGACUCGUAUCAACGGCACUACGAGGGCUAUACUGUCUCCUUUUUCUAAUCAGUGAAACUGAUCUCCCCGUGAAGAAGCGGGGAUCAAAAUAUAAGACGAGAAGACCCCAUGGAGCUUUAAACUCACCAUGCACCUCUGUGCCCCCACACCAUCAAACACAGGAGAUCUGCACGCUAGUUUUAGGUUGGGGGGACCACGGAGUAUAAUUCAACCUCCAUAACAAAUGGGUUAACACCCUUAUCCACGAGACACAACUCUAAGAAUUACUAAACUAAUGCUUAUGACCCGAUAUUCGAUCAAUGAACCAAGUUACCCUGGGGAUAACAGCGCAAUCUACUUCAAGAGCCCAUAUCGACAAGUAGGUUUACGACCUCGAUGUUGGAUCAGGGUAUCCCGGUGGUGCAGCCGCUACCGACGGUUCGUUUGUUCAACGAUUAAAACCCU